rnacentral:rRNA from 1 species
UAAUCAUUUGUCUUUUAAAUGAAGACCUGUAUGAAUGGCUAGACGAGGGCUAAGCUGUCUCCUUUUUCAGGUCAAUGAAAUUGAUCUCCCCGUGCAAAAGCAGGGAUACACACAUAAGACGAGAAGACCCUAUGGAGCUUCAGAUGCCACGGCAAGCAUUGCCUGCUACUUCUAAAACAAAAGAAUACCCACUAGCUUCUGCCUCAGCAUCUUCGGUUGGGGUGACCAUGGGGAACAAAAAACCCCCACGAUGCACUGAGAUGUCUACAAGACCUUGACACAUCCUCUCAAACAAGAGCCGCAGCUCUAAUUAACAGAAUUUCUGACUACCGAUCCGGCAACGCCGAUUAACGAACCAAGUUACCCUAGGGAUAACAGCGCAAUCCCCUUCAAGAGCCCA